UACGGGGGGAGCAAGCGUUGUUCGGAUUUACUGGGCGUAAAGGGCGCGUAGGCGGCCGUGUAAGUCACCUGUGAAAUCCCGGGGCUCAACUCCGGGGCUGCAGGUGAGACUGCGUGGCUAGAGCACGGUAGAGGCGAGUGGAAUUCCCGGUGUAGCGGUGAAAUGCGUAGAUAUCGGGAAGAACACCUAUGGCGAAGGCAGCUCUCUGGGACGGUACUGACGCUGAGACGCGAAAGCGUGGGGAGCAAACAGG
rnacentral:rRNA from 1 species